rnacentral:rRNA from 1 species
UACGGGGGGGGCAAGCGUUGUUCGGAAUUACUGGGCGUAAAGGGCUCGUAGGUGGCCAACUAAGUCAGACGUGAAAUCCCUCGGCUUAACCGGGGAACUGCGUCUGAUACUGGAUGGCUUGAGAUUGGGAGAGGGAUGCGGAAUUCCAGGUGUAGCGGUGAAAUGCGUAGAGAUGUGGAGGAACACCGAUGGCGAAGGCAGCCUCCUGGGCCAGCACUGACGCUCAUGCACGAAAGCGUGGGGAGCAAACAGG